AAAUGGAUUUUUUUGCAAUAGUUGUAACUAGUCAGUAUUAUGAUAUUUCUACCUGUGUCACUGGUGCUAUUGGAGUACAUGUUCAGCAACCAUCACCAUUUCAAUGUUUCAUAUGUCUGCUGUCUCACUGUUUUACAUGUACAAAUACAUCUUUGUUUUUGAGAGACUUGUCAUUUUGUGCUAAAUCUUUUGUCCAUUGAGAGAGUGUAUGUGUAUAACAUGAGAAUUGUCUUCACUAUGUUCACUAACUUAAUUUUUGUGUGAUUUUCACAGCCGCAAGUAAAAAGCAUGUUCAGGUAAAAAAAAGAACUUUGUGUAAAUGCGCAUGAUCUCAAUAAGCUUCCUCUACUGGCUUGCAACAUUAAAUGUAUUUUUAUAUGCAGAUUUCUUAAAUAUCAUGAAAUAUUGGUAUGUAUUUUUAUAAAUCUUAUAAAAGUAAAGAAGCAUUACAUUACAGCAGUAAUCUAUGGCAUGUGUAUCUGCUUUUGGUAUAUCUGGAAUUCAAGCUUGUAUCAGCCCUACUUUAUCUUAGUAUCGUUUCAUUGUACUUCGUUGAUUGAGUGAUGAAUAAUUUUGUGUAUGGUCUUUUUUCCUUUCACGGCAGACGCAAAAAGCACAAAUUGAGCAAGAAGACCAAGUAAGUUAUGUAACACCUGGAGGCCACUUAGGCAGUGCAUGUUCUUAAUCAAUUUGUGGGGUAUGCCCAUUAACUUGUCUAAGUUGGAACAUGCACCCACUUAAUCUGUGUGAGAUGUUAUUGUAAGAAUGAAGACACUGAAGUAUUGUAAUGCAUUAUCAGAACUGCAUGUUGACGUGAUUCAUCAUGUGCAUACAAUGCAGGAGGCCUCGCUCUUGAUGUAGGAGCACCUGUCAUUUCAUAAUUAUCAGACACAAUCAGCUUGGACAAACAACUUUAUCUAGGGAACUUUAAAUUAAUGUUGCCUUAACACAUGCCUUUUCCUCUGUUUCGGAACUUCAAAAAUUGACUGGAAUGCUUCUCGCUUUCCCUGAAUUUGCAUUGUUAAUUUAUUUCAUUGAAAUCUACAGUUACACAUACCCCUUCUGGUUUCUAAACAAUGUCUUUUUCAUUUGAUUUUUAAUCGAAGAAGCAUCUCUCGUGUAGUUCAAAUAUUUAAUAAUCAUAAGGUGCCUAGCAAUUGGGUAGGUUUAAGCAAUCCGUUUUGUUUUGUGACUUUAAUAAGGAUACUAAAUCAAUACAUCUGUUCAUAUUUCCAUUAACUACACCACUGCGUUGGAACAAAAACUUUCGAAGUCCCACCCAGUACAACAGAAAAUCAAUUGUGCAAUGUAAAUGUAUGAUGCAGUGACAGUUUGAGUGCCAUAUAUUAAGUGUUGCUGUUUUUGAUGAAUGUAUAAACUGAGAUUAGCCAAUAUUUGAGUAGAGUGCACCAUCUUCUCAGCAGUAGCUCUAUUAGUGCAAUGUAUUGGAUCCGUCCAGCCCUAUGGGGAUCACCAGAGUUAUUUCCCUUUGUUGUAAAUAAAUGAAUAUUUAAACACACCUGUGAUACCUUCGUCUGUAUAUAUUGUUCACUGUUACAGAUAGAAAUAAAUGUUAACUUAUUUAU
rnacentral:misc_RNA from 1 species